CACAAAUUAAAAUGAGGUGUAAGGUGCCUUCGGGGCUAGGGCAAGGUGAAUAUUUUAUCACCCAUUGUCUUUUGCGCACUUGUUGUUUCCUGGGCGGGUUCGCCCGCCACCAGGACCACACCAUAAACCUUUUUUAUGCAGUUGCAAUCAGCGUCAGUAUAACAAAUGUAAAUCAUUUA
rnacentral:misc_RNA from 1 species